CCCAAUCUCAGAAACCAUAAUCCCAGAGUCGUCGGUCGAUUCGUUUCUCAUUCACUUCAUCUUCUCUGUUUCCCUUCUCGCGAUCUACAUCACUACUAAUAAUCAAACCUCCUCUCCCAUCUUUAAUGUCUUUCGUUUCACCUCCCUCUCUAUCUAUUUCUUAUAAACCUCUUCACCUUUUGUUGCUUUGUUCUGUUCUCUCCAGUCCAAACGUAGCUCAAUUGUUCUCUAAUCUUCUCCGGAACGAGCUCACAAAGUACCCAGAAGCGUUGAGCUUGAUCUGUGAGAAGAGGAUUCAUGGGUGUCACGUUUAAGAUUUCAAAGAUUGGUAGAAAGUUUGGGCAGAGGGUUUCUACUGAAUCGUGUGAUUGUGAUCCUGACUCUCAAGUCUCAAGAGCACCUGAAGAAUCCGAAAGCAAUCGUUCUAACAGGGAAAUCAAAGGCAGUUUCUCUAAAAAAAUUCUAAAUUUUGAGCGUUUAGGCAUUGCUUCAGGGCAUUGUUGAAAGCCAUGGUGGUGAAUUUCUGUAGCCAUCUUUACUUGAAAUAUCUCCAGAGCAUGAAGUUUCCUUCGUAUUGAGUCUCUAUCUGAAUGUGUACUCUUUAGGAAAACCCUCUGAGCCAGUUUUCAGAGGCAAGAAGUUUCUUUUUCAACAAAAGUUGGGUCUCUUUUAUUUGUCAAAAUAUGCGACACUGCGGUAGACUACUAAAUCAAGGUUUCAUCAGAUGCUGACAGGACCUUAUAACUCAGUACGCCAAGCUAGAAGAGGACUACGGAGAUCCCACCAUUUAUCCAAGAAAUUCUUGAGAAAGCUAUCUUGCUCUCCAAGAGAAGCAAGCCCAAGCCAAAAGACUCCAACUAACCAACUGCUCUCUCCUAUUAAUUUCCUCUCUUUUAAUACUAAAUCUCUUGAGUGUAACUGCUUCCUCUUCUCUUUAUUUUGCAGGUACAAGCCACGUGACUGGAUCAUAUCAGUGUCCCACAUCUUUGAUCGCCAUCGGCGUCCAGCUGCAGUAACGUUUGCAAUUCACGGAGGGAACAACUACCUUGGAGAUGAUAUUCCUGGUGGUACAUGUGUCUCCUGCAAAAGCUCUAAUGGACAAAGGUUAAGUGGUGAUGAGCAGAGUAAGAGAUUGAUGGAAUCCCCUCAAACCAGACACCCCCAUCCGGUGGAAAACAAAAGCUGCACUGCACAACUAUGAGGGGACCAAUCCAGGGGAAGAGCAGAUUAAAUAUGAGAAGGGUUUGUAAACUUUACAAAAAACUUUAAACAAAAUGGAGUUCACCUUGGCAAAAAGAAUAAAAACAAGAUAGUGUCUCUGAUGUUGCGAUCAAUAAGCUUGCAAAUCGUUGAGGGAGUUGAUGAGGUACCAUCAUGAAGUCGUUUGUUUCUUUCAGCCCAUAUGCAAUAGAUAGUCGCAUGGGAGACGAGUCUCUUAAGAACCAGAGGAGCAUGAGAGUCUUUUAGAGAUAACCAUUCAAAUAAAGCUGUCCAAGUGUGAAAUCCCGAAUGGUUAUAACCAAGUCCUCGAAGAAUCAGUGUCCAUAUCUGCUUGCUAACUUCGCAGCAAAGGAGAAGGUGGUCUCUCGACUCUAUGGCAGAAUCACAGAGACAGCAGUUUGCUGAGUUUCCAAGGCCCCAACUAAGAAGGCGAGCGCGGGUUGGCAUUCUGUCGUAUUGAGCUAUCCACAUGAGGAAUGCGUGUCGCGGUGUUGCUGACUUAAACCAGAUAUACGCAGCCCAUGGAACCGUUACAUCUCUGUUUCUUAAUGCCUCCCGAGUACGAGAAGUAGAGUAACUUGUGAAGGCGUCUCCAUCAACCAGCCAGAUAAAUACGUCGGAAGACUGGCUGAGAGAAGGUAGAUGAAUAUUGGUAAGGUGAAUCUGCAAGCUUUCUGCAGCAGGAGAUUUUGCGCCUCGAAGACGCCAGCCAUUAUUAUCACAAGAAUCACUUACCGUAGCAAACAGAGGGAUGGAGAGUUCACGAGGUCCACUACUGCCAAAUAAAUCUUACUGAAGCUCAAUUAUAAUUUUGUUUUUCUUUUCCAAAAAAUAACUUAUGGUUUACUCGGCCAUGUUUUAAUCUUCAACCAUAAGUGAAAUACGAAUUUAAAAUUUGUUAUCUAUAAACUAUUUAAACAUCUUUGAUGGUGAAAGAAAUGAAAACAACGCCAAGUUUAAUAGACG